rnacentral:rRNA from 1 species
CGCGUAGGCGGUUCGAUUAGUCGGGUGUGAAAGCCCUGGGCUUAACCUGGGAAUUGCAUUCGAUACUGUCGAGCUAGAGUAUGGUAGAGGAAAGCGGAAUUCCACAUGUAGCGGUGAAAUGCGUAGAUAUGUGGAGGAACAUCAGUGGCGAAGGCGGCUUUCUGGACCAAUACUGACGCUGAGGCGCGAAAGCGUGGGGAGCAAACA